rnacentral:rRNA from 1 species
GACGAACCGUGCGAACGUUGUUCGGAAUCACUGGGCUUAAAGGGCGCGUAGGCGGGUCGACAAGUCCGUGGUGAAAUCCCCCCGCUCAACGGGGGAACGGCCGCGGAUACUGUCGGCCUCGAGGGGGGUAGGGGCGAGCGGAACGCUGGGUGGAGCGGUGAAAUGCGUUGAUAUCCAGCGGAACUCCGGUGGCGAAGGCGGCUCGCUGGACCCCCACUGACGCUGAGGCGCGAAAGCCAGGGGAGCGAACGGG